rnacentral:rRNA from 1 species
CCUACGGGAGGCAGCAGUGAGGAAUAUUGGUCAAUGGACGAGAGUCUGAACCAGCCAAGUAGCGUGAAGGAUGACUGCCCUAUGGGUUGUAAACUUCUUUUAUAUGGGAAUAAAACGUUCCACGUGUGGGAUUUUGUAUGUACCAUAUGAAUAAGGAUCGGCUAACUCCGUGCCAGCAGCAGCGGUAAUACGGAGGAUCCGAGCGUUAUCCGGAUGUAUUGGGUUUAAAGGGAGCGUAGGUGGAUUGUUAAGUCAGUUGUGAAAGUUUGCGGCUCAACCGUAAAAUUGCAGUUGAAACUGGCAGUCUUGAGUACAGUAGAGGUGGGCGGAAUUCGUGGUGUAGCGGUGAAAUGCUUAGAUAUCACGAAGAACUCCGAUUGCGAAGGCAGCUCACUGGACUGCAACUGACACUGAGGCUCGAAAGUGUGGGUAUCAAACAGGAUUAGAUACCCCUGUAGUC